rnacentral:lncRNA from 10 species
GCCUGGUUCAGACUGGGCUUGGGAAGUGAGUCAGGGCCUGACUAUAUGUGAUAAAGAGAAGCUCCUUGCUUUUAAAGGACAGUAAGGGGGUCGUCUUACACUUAGCAGCCCGGACAGAAUUGAUUUUUUUACAGACCCCUCUGUGGGCGAGUGCCUUUUAUGAAAAAGGCAAAAAUAUUUAAUAAGAAUGAAACCCCCUGAAUGGUCCCGGGUCCUAUCAGAAGCGGGAAGUCCCCUUUUUAAAUGGUCGCAGGCAUCUCCUUUGAUCACACGAUAUCACUGAACAUGCAGUCCUCACACCCCCAACUUCAUUCUCAUCUCAUUUUUCUCCACGGUGCAUGCCAGCCUCUGACACGUGGUGGCCCUCUCUCGAGGGGGUGCUGGUGCCUGACUCCUUUGGACACCCUGUGAAGGCAGGGCCAGACAGGUCGCAAGGGAAAACCAUCGGUCAAGGUGAGUGUUGCAGGCGCCCUGGAGGAAGGCACCGUGUCACCUGCUGGCCCAAGGGCUUCCAGAAUUCCAUGAAUUACAACAGGGAAUGCAUCUGCCAAGCAUCCUAGACCCACGUUUCUGGCCGGCACAGCCUCGCCCUCUGUGGAAAUCAGCAUGAGAGGUGCCACACAGAGGCUGCCUGGAGAGUGGGCUGAACAGGGGGAAGGAGUAAUCCCCCAUGGCCGUCUCCACCCUCACAUCUCCAUCCCUGCCACGUGGGGCCUGGGGUCUGGGCUGCUCUCUGGAUAGCCAGGGCUGUGCUAGGCGCUGCUCAGGCUGGGCUCUCUGAUGGCCCCUAAGAUGUCAGCAAGACCUACCCAUGACACCGCCCAAGCCCAGGGCCUGAGGACGGGAGCCUUGUCCUUCCAGAGCACCGGCUCUGGGGCCUGUGCAGGUGGUGCCCAUCUCUGAGUCUCAGGGUUCUCAUCUGUGCAGUGGGGACAUCAGUGGUGUCUGCAGGACAGGCUGUAGGAGGGUGAAGUUGAAAGCAGGUCUGAGCUGCCAGAGGCCCUGGGUCUGGCCCGCCACACACCUGGGGAGUCAGGGACUGCCUGUCCCCCCAGCAGCUGCCCUCCAUGCCCAUGUGCUGGCCAGAGAACCCUGGUCAGGGGCUGAGACAGUGGUGUGCUGGUGGUCACUAAUACUGACCGUCAUUAAACGUUUAGGAAUGCUGACAGCCAUUGUUACAAAUUAAAUUCUACAAACUGAUGAUUAAAUAAAUUGUAUUAAAAACAAAGGUAGUGAAUAUUCCACUCCCUGUCCUUCCUGGUUGCCUUUCUGCAUCGUCUGUGCUCUUACAGCGACGUCUGCUGCUGGGUCUGUGGUGAAAAUGCUGUAUGAGGCUGUGCUACUGCUCUGCCUGCAGUGACGUCUGGGGACAGCUGCAAAUGGGCACAUGUGGAAGCCAGAGGACUGACUGUCAACCUGUCACCGGAGUGGGCCUGGAUUCCACGGCCAGGGGAGGGGCCGCCAGCCUGGGAUGCAUACAGUCCUCACAGCUCUGGGAGCUGGCUUUCAGGGACUCCUCCUGCAGGGUUCUGUGGGUGCUGCUCUAUGCUCUCUCUCCUUCUGCUGAGGCAUAGGGCUUCUCUACUCGCCCUGGGCCAGAGGAGCCAGGCAGCUGGGCAGCGGAAGGCUCGGGUGCCCUGGACAGGCGUCUGCCUAGCACUGGCUGGCCCGGCCCAGCCAGACGCCUGCUGGCUCAUCCGCACAGCCACCCUGUGGGUGAGGGCUUGGUCUGUUCGAGGGAUGGGGGACCGAGGUUCUGGGAGGGGCUUGCCAAGUCCUGGCAGUCAGCAAAUGGCAGGCAAGGACCUGAGCCCCUCCACUGGAUGUGAGGUCAGUGCUGCCCCAAGCACCUGGGGCUGCCUUCAGUGACAGGAGCAGCGUGGUGAUGUGGGGAGAGGUUCAGCUGGAGGCAGCCACACCACGCAGGACGCUAGGGCAUGGUCCAGGAGCCCUGCACUGGCUGACAUGCACUCCUGAAGUUCUGCCUUUAGAGACUGAUCCCUCGCAACACCCAUCUGCCCUCUCCUUGAGUCCUCCUCCCACGCGCGCGUCCCCAAGAAGAUAAGCAUCAGGGCACCAACGUGCUACUCAAGGUCCUGGGGGCAGCAGCAUCAAGGGAAAGGAGACCAGCAGGCAGAGCAUGGCUGUGGGUGACCUGAAACAGCCACCACUCUCUCCCCCUGGAACCCCGAGGGCCAAGGGAGCAGGAGGGCCUGGCCCUGAGCAGCCUCCCUUCUGCAGAGAAAGGCAGGCAUGGGUGGGCAACACUGGGGCCAGACAGAUGGGGGUGGGCUGGUCUUGGGGGCUCAACUUGGAGGGCAGGGCACUGCCUGACAACGUGGGCAUCAUGCAGAGGGCCGUGCGAGGGCAGCUCGUGGAAAGCGCCCAGAGUGGAGCGCUGGCCCUGGAGAGCAAGGGAUGCUCACGCACGCUGCAACCCGGAUGAACCUCAAGGACAUCGUGCUGAGUGAAAUAAGCCAGACACAAAAGGCAUGGCCUGCAUGAUUCCACUCACAUGAGGCACCUGGAGUAGUCAAAUGCACAGCCGGGAAGUAGAAUGGCAGUUGCCAGGGGUUGCAGGGAGGGGAGUUAGUGUUUAAUGGGCACAGGGUUUUAGUUUUGCAAGAUGAAGGGUUUUGUGGAUGGGUGGUGGUGAUGGUUGCUCAACAGUGCUAAUGUGCUUAAUGCCUCUGAACGGUGCACUUAAAAAUGGUUAAUGGCUGGGCGAGGUGGCUCACGCCUAUAAUCACGCUUUUACCAGGCCCAGGUGGGAGGCUGUCUUGAGGCCAGGAGUUUGAGACCAGCCUGGGCAACAUAGUGAGACCUCAUCUCUACAAAAAAAAAUUUAAGAAUUAGCUGGGCGUGGUGGCACACUGGUAGUCCCAGCUACUCAGGAGGCUGAGGUGGCAUGGGAGUGGGAGGGGUGGUGGGGUGCUGGGGGGUGGGGAGGUAGUGCAGUGCAGCAGAGCAGGGUGUGGGAGGGUAGGGGGAUGGAGGUGUGUGUGUGUGUGGAGGGGGGAGAAUCGCUUGAGCCCAGGAAUUCAAGCUUGCAGUGAGCUGUGAUCCAGCCACUUGAAUUCUUUUUAUUUUUUUUAUUAUUUUUAAAUUAUUUUUUAAGACAGAGUUUCGCUCUUGUUCCCCAGGCUGGAGUACAAUGGCACGAUCUCAGCUCACUGCAACCUCUGCCUCCUGGGUUCAAGCGAUUCUCCCGCCUCAGCCUCCCGAAUAGCUGGGAUUACAGGCAUGCGCCACCACGCCUGGCUAAUUUUGUAUUUUUUAGUAGAGACGCUGUUUCUCCAUGUUGGUCAGGCUGGUCUUGAACUCCCGACCUCAGGUGAUCCGCCUGCCUCAACCUCCCAAAGUGCUGGGAUUACAGGCGUGAACCACCGCGCCCAGCCCAGACUCUUGAAUUCUUAAAGCACAGCUUGCCUUAGGGGCUUCAUAAUGGCCCUAGGGCCCCUGGGGCAUCACCCACAGGGUGUGAGGACCCUCCCCUCACCUCCCUCUCUCCCUGCCUCACUUCCUUCUUUCCUCCCUCCCUUCCCUUCUCAACUGAGCCCCCUACUCAGUGCCAAGCCCUGGGCGCCCUGCCUGGAGGAGUGGGCAGAAUGAUGGGAAGGCAGGCGAGUGUGCUGCAACAGAGGCGAGCCAUGGGCUGUGAGGCAUUGCAGGCAGACAGCAGAGGCAGGAAGCAGGCCUUCCUUCUGGGAAGCAGGAGGAGCCCGGGGAGAGUUGCUAGCUGUGGCCUUCUCAGCCCAGGCCCUCUAGCAACUUGGGGUUUGAGGGUCAAACUUCUUUCUUUAGGUAGGUGAGGAUAGAUGUGGAGGCCUCAGAACCCUGAGUUCAAGUCUGAUCUCAGCUUCUUGCCUACUGCGGUAGGGCAGUCGCUUCUCAGUGACUCAACUUUCCCAGCCACAAGAUGGGUCCAGGAAGAGCCGCUUGGGGAGCAGCGGGGCCGGGAGGAUGGGGUGAAUGACUGCCUGGCUGUGGGUAUCUGCAGCUCCUGCUGGCAAUCCUUCUCACCCGCUCGGUCUCCAGCCAGGGGACAGGGACCUGGGGUCCACACCUCAGCCUGAGGUCCAAGGCCAUCCUCGGAGGAGGCCCCACAUUCGUCCCCCAGGUUGGUGCCCACGCCUGCCCUGGCAUGAAGCCACCCUUUCUCAGGAAGUCCAAGUUACUGAAACAGAUAAAUCAAUCUGUCAAGAAGCCUUGGAGAAAGAAUCUCUCAACUCGCUCAGCCAAGAAGCUCAAAAGGCGAAUUGUUCCCAGAGAUGAAGAAGGAAACAACAGACACCUUCUUCCCAGGCUCUGCCUGCGGCUCUCGAGGCCCUGCCCUCCUCCCCCUGCCCCCAGAGAGCACCUGUAGGCUCAGGGCCAGCCCAGGGACAGGCAUGGCAGCCCCUCGCUGGCUGCUGGGGUGGCGCCCAAUUCCAGAGCCCUGUCUGGGGAAGGAGAGGGCCGAGAGCCACUGUUUGGCUCCUGUCCCAGACCUGACUGGGAGACCUUCUGAAAAACUCAGCCUCCUGAUCAACAGAGGGCAGAAGACCUGAGCCACUGGCCUCCCCAUGGAAGAGGCACUCAGAGCGGUAUGAGGAGUAGUGCUCACCCUGGACAAACUCCCGGAGUCAGUGUGACCGUCGGAGCUGGAGGCUGGGGUGAUGGGGGCCAGGGAAACCAAGCAAUGGCCCCGAGGUAGUGAGGAGUCUCUGGAGGCCAGAUACCCUCAAGAUGGAAAAGGAACAUCCUUGGAGGAUUGGGGUGGCUUCUUCCUGGAGGGAGGAGGGACACAUGCCGGGAUGACAGCCAGCUCUGCCGCUGACCAGCUGUGUGACCUUGUGAAAGUCACUUGAUCUCUCGGCGCAUCAAUUUCCUCAUUGUUGCCUGGGCCUCUUGUGAGAUCUUCCUCAUGGCUUGCAGUGAGGAUUGAAUGAGUCGAUCUGUGCCCCGUGGCCCGGGACAUGGUGAGCAUGUGGUAAUGGCAGCCGUUUUAUCCUGUAGUGUAAUAACGGUGUGCAGCUAGACGUCACUCUGGGCACCUUUUCUCACAGAACUGUCACUGCCGUGCUGCAGGAUGCGGAUGGUUGUCUUCACUCUCCAGAUGAGGAAACUGAGGCUCAAGGAAGGGCGGAGCUGCCUGAGGCUUGACAACUCUGCAGUCUGCAGCUGUGAGAGGGGGCUCUUUCUAGCCACACAGCUUUCCCUGGUUCUCGUGCGCUCUGUGAGCAGGAGGACGGGAAGGGCCGCAGCCGCUGAGGGAGCAGGAGGGGUUCGAUGCAAGCCCAGCUCCCAGCACGGGAAAGCCAGGUCAAGAAACACACGGCCUCUGCUGUGGGGCUGAUCACAGCUUUGUCAAAGAGGAGAUGUGGGAGGGGGGAGGUGAAGGGAGCAGGAAGAAAUGAAUGUCAGAAACAUAAAUAGCCCUGGAACUGAUGGACAGUCUGAGAUCUCUGCGCAGACCUGGGCGCCUGCAGGCUGCCACUCAAACCUGAGCAGAAGGGUGAACCCGCCCUCACCCCACUCCCGGUUCCCUACACGCCCCAGGAAAGGGCUGUUGUGAGCGGAAGGCAUUCGUCGAAAACUGGGAAGGUUGCCCAAGAAAGGCAGAGCGGGAAGCCCUCCGUGGGCAGCAGAACCGGGUGAGUCAGCCCGUCGGAGGGUCCCCCAUGUGGCAGGAAGGGGAGGCACAGGGACUGGGCUCGGCCACCUGGAAACACAGGCGGCAACAGCUGCUCAUGCAUGAAAGGUGACAGCUAAGUGUCAUCAGCCUGGGAGUGCCAGGAUAACGUCACCAGGGCGAGGUGGGCCGCGGGGGUGCAACAGAGGCCCCCUAACUUCCCAGGGGAAAAAGCUCACCACUGUCAGGGACAUGAAAGGACUGUCAAAGAGCCAUGAAACCAGCUACGGGGAUUGGGAAACUUCAGACUCACUUCUGUUUGUUUUGUGACAACAUGGAAGCCACAGAUGUUCUCUCAAGGAAACACCAGUUCCCAGGACCUCCGUUUACAGAUGGGAAGACCGAGGCUCAGAGAAUAUAAGCUGCUGGCGGACACACCACUGGGAAGUGGUGAAACCUCACCCAGGCUCUCCCCCUGCCAUGCAGGCUGUCACUGAAAUCAUGCUGGGCCCUCACCAUCCAAGCCGCUCUGCAGUGCUUGGAAAGCCAGCCUUCCUGUUAAUGCUACCUUCAGCUUCCUCAAAAACAGGACGAAACCUACAGGUGAGCCUCUCCUCCUGGAUUCCAGGUGCUGCCACAGUGGCUGACGGAAGACUCUCGAAAGAGCUGAUCACAGGCCACCCUCGGUCCAAAUUCCUCCGGGGUGCCUUUACCCUCAAAGCGGUCAGGUUUCUGAGAUGACAAAGCCCCUUUGACAGGCCUGUCAACUUCCCAGGCACCUACCAGGGCCCCAGCCAGGUCCAGAUCCAGAGCUUCCAGGACCCACCAUGUUGCUGGGCCCAUUCCCGGCCCUUCUCUGUGUCUCUGCAGAGGCUUAAUGGAGGGAGGCUCUCUUGAUUGGCAGCUUGUGGGGCAGGUGCCAAGCCUCAUUCAUUACACUUCUCAGCAUCUAACACAGUGCCUGGUGCACAGAAGAUGAAUUCAACUGGCAACGCAAAUGGUGUUCGUGAGCAGCACCCACAAGAACCACUCUCCACAAAGAUCCAACAUCUAGAAAGCCUGAGGCUCCACCCCUGAUCCUUCAAGCCUACUCUUCCUUAGGCUGCCCCAGAGGCAAGGAACCGGGUUCCCCGUCUGUGGCAGAUUGUACUUUCACAGAGGACCACAGCAGCCUAUCCCACUUUGCAUGCUCUUCUGCAUUGGCACUCUGCAUUCCCCUUCAAGAAGUGGAGUCAUUCCCCUCUUCCUUGGACCUGGGGCCAGAAGUCAUGUUCCAUUCUUAUCAUAGGUCCGAAAAGGUCACUGAGCUUCCCCUUGCUUCUCUUGGGAUGCUUGCUCUGGGGAAGCCAGCUGCCUCCUAAGUCCAAGUGCUCCGGGACUGUCAUUGUGGAGACCAGGAGCAGGUGCCGGCUGUGCCUGCAUGGCAGUGAAGCCACACUGGACCCUCUAGACCAGCCCACCCACAGUUGAUGCCAUGGAGAGUGGAAUGAUUUUCCAGUGGAGCCCUGCCUGAAUCUCCCAAGAGAGGGGGAGCCCACAGGGUCAGCUGAGUUGAAAUCUGAAGAUUGGGCAGAGAGCACCAAGCCUGCACCCAGUGAGACAGCAGCCCCAGCAUGUGGCUGUUUAAAUUAAAAUUAACUGAUAUUGAGUGAAAUGAAAAGUUCAGUUCCUCCAUCACACAGGCCAUGUUUCAAAUGCUCGGUAGCCACAUGGGCACAGAAUUGCAGCAAGUUCUAUUGGAGGCACUGCUCCAAGGCCCCGGGGUCCUACUGACCAGGUGGAAGGCCACCCGCCAGCUGGGAACAUCCACAUGGAGCUUUGUGUGCCAGAGAAGUCAACUUCUUGAAUGAAGUUAAGACGUGGGCUGGGGGAGGUGUUUGCCACUGUAACUAACAGGUAUCCUGUUAGUUAUCCUGGCCUGGAGGAGCGUUCCAUCUGGUACAGAACAGAGAUAAGUAAACAGUCCAUCGUGGGCCGGGGGAGACACAGGAGCCUGAAGAUCCCUGGGCCCAGAUGCAAGGCGAGGUAAUCAGAGAUGGCCCCAUGGAGGAGGCAGCACCUAUCCCCAGCACCAGGUCCAGCCAAGGGAGAAUGGUGAGAGGCAUUUCGCCUCCAUUUCUCUCCCGCAGUUCCUAGCUCUCCUUCUUUCAGGCACCAAAAGCCUCCUGCUGUCUUCUUUCCCACUGGCG